CACCGCCCGUCGCUACGACUGAUUGAAUGAUUUAGUGAGUUUUUCGGACUGGCGCUCGAAGCGGCUUUCGGAUCGCGUCGGCUUGCCGGAAAGAUGACCAUAUUUGAUUAUUUAGAGGAAACAAAAGUCGUAACACGGUUUCCGUAGCUUGCGGAAA
rnacentral:ncRNA from 1 species